rnacentral:lncRNA from 1 species
UCCUUUUCUUUUUCCUAUUUCUCUCUUUUUCUCUUUUUCUCUCGCCUCUUCCUCCGUUUCACUCUCACUUUCCUCCGACGAAUACUCUGAACUCCCCGACUCCGAAGUGGAAUACUCAUCAGAGGAGGAAAUCGAAUCAUCAUCGUCGCUAUACUUUCUUUGUGAUCUGUUCUUGGAGCUUCAACUUCUCUUCCUCGAGCUUCUACUGUUGUGCUUGCUUCCGUCAUCGGAUUUGGGAUCCUGAUUCGGAUUGAAAUUCAUAAUUAUCAUCAACAAUAUUUAUUUGAGAUUUGAGGGUUUCUGAAUGUUCAAUCGAUGAUGAACAAUGUUUAAUUAAUUGGUG